GAAGAUGUAACGGGGCUAAACCAUGCACCGAAGCUGCGGCAGCGAACGUAUCACCCAAGACAACUUUACGGAGUUGACGAUUGACGGAGCGAAGCGACGUCAAAGCGUUCAUUAAAGUCGAGUUGGCUUAGGGAUACGUUCGUUGGGUAGGGGAGCGUUCUGUAAGCCUGUGAAGGUGUGUCGUGAGGCAUGCUGGAGGUAUCAGAAGUGCGAAUGCUGACAUAAGUAACGAUAAAGCGGGUGAAAAGCCCGCUCGCCGGAAGACCAAGGGUUCCUGUCCAACGUUAAUCGGGGCAGGGUGAGUCGACCCCUAAGGCGAGGCCGAAAGGCGUAGUCGAUGGGAAACGGGUUAAUAUUCCCGUACUUGGUGUUACUGCGAAGGGGGGACGGAGAAGGCUAUGUUGGCCGGGCGACGGUUGUCCCGGUUUAAGCGUGUAGGUGUGUGUUCCAGGUAAAUCCGGUUCACUUUAACACUGAGGCGUGACGACGAGGCACUACGGUGCUGAAGCAACAAAUGCCCUGCUUCCAGGAAAAGCCUCUAAGCAUCAGGUAACACGAAAUCGUACCCCAAACCGACACAGGUGGUCAGGUAGAGAAUACCAAGGCGCUUGAGAGAACUCGGGUGAAGGAACUAGGCAAAAUGGUGCCGUAACUUCGGGAGAAGGCACGCUGACACGUAGGUGAAGUGAUUUACUCAUGGAGCUGAAGUCAGUCGAAGAUACCAGCUGGCUGCAACUGUUUAUUAAAAACACAGCACUGUGCAAACACGAAAGUGGACGUAUACGGUGUGACGCCUGCCCGGUGCCGGAAGGUUAAUUGAUGGGGUCAGCGUAAGCGAAGCUCCUGAUCGAAGCCCCGGUAAACGGCGGCCGUAACUAUAACGGUCCUAAGGUAGCGAAAUUCCUUGUCGGGUAAGUUCCGACCUGCACGAAUGGCGUAAUGAUGGCCAGGCUGUCUCCACCCGAGACUCAGUGAAAUUGAACUCGCUGUGAAGAUGCAGUGUACCCGCGGCAAGACGGAAAGACCCCGUGAACCUUUACUAUAGCUUGACACUGAACAUUGAGCCUUGAUGUGUAGGAUAGGUGGGAGGCUUUGAAGUGUGGACGCCAGUCUGCAUGGAGCCGACCUUGAAAUACCACCCUUUAAUGUUUGAUGUUCUAACGUGGACCCGUAAUCCGGGUUGCGGACAGUGUCUGGUGGGUAGUUUGACUGGGGCGGUCUCCUCCUAAAGAGUAACGGAGGAGCACGAAGGUUGGCUAAUCCUGGUCGGACAUCAGGAGGUUAGUGCAAUGGCAUAAGCCAGCUUGACUGCGAGCGUGACGGCGCGAGCAGGUGCGAAAGCAGGUCAUAGUGAUCCGGUGGUUCUGAAUGGAAGGGCCAUCGCUCAACGGAUAAAAGGUACUCCGGGGAUAACAGGCUGAUACCGCCCAAGAGUUCAUAUCGACGGCGGUGUUUGGCACCUCGAUGUCGGCUCAUCACAUCCUGGGGCUGAAGUAGGUCCCAAGGGUAUGGCUGUUCGCCAUUUAAAGUGGUACGCGAGCUGGGUUUAGAACGUCGUGAGACAGUUCGGUCCCUAUCUGCCGUGGGCGCUGGAGAACUGAGGGGGGCUGCUCCUA
rnacentral:rRNA from 1 species